rnacentral:rRNA from 1 species
CCUACGGGGUGCAGCAGUGGGGAAUAUUGCACAAUGGGGGAAACCCUGAUGCAGCGACGCCGCGUGAGUGAAGAAGUAAUUCGUUAUGUACAGCUCGAUCAGCAGGGAAGAAAAGGACGGUACCCGGAGAAAAAGCAGCGGCGAACGCCGUGCCAGCAGCCGCGGUAAUACGGAGGAUGCGAGAGUUAUCCGGAUGCCUUGGGUGUAAAGGGUGCGCAGGCGGGCCUUUAAGCCGGCGGGGAAAUCGCGGGGCUCAACCCCGCCGAGCCGGCGGAACGGGGGGCCUUGAGUGCGGCGGAGGCAUGCGGAAUGCGCGGUGUAGCGGUGCAAUGCCUCGAUCUCGCGCAGAACCCCGAUUGCGCAGGCAGCGUGCCGUGCCGCCCCUGACGCUGCGGCACGAAAGCGCGGGGAUCGCACAGGAUUCGCUACCCCAGUAGUC